rnacentral:rRNA from 1 species
AUUGAACGCUGGCGGAAUGCUUUACACAUGCAAGUCGAACGGCAGCACGGGGGCAGCCCCUGUGGCGAGUGGCGAACGGGUGAGUAAUACAUCGGAACGUGCCCGGUCGUGGGGGAUAACGUAGCGAAAGUUACGCUAAUACCGCAUACGAUCUGAGGAUGAAAGCGGGGGACCUUCGGGCCUCGCGCGAUCGGAGCGGCCGAUGUCAGAUUAGGUAGUUGGUGGGGUAAAGGCCUACCAAGCCGACGAUCUGUAGCUGGUCUGAGAGGACGACCAGCCACACUGGGACUGAGACACGGCCCAGACUCCUACGGGAGGCAGCAGUGGGGAAUUUUGGACAAUGGGCGCAAGCCUGAUCCAGCCAUUCCGCGUGCAGGACGAAGGCCUUCGGGUUGUAAACUGCUUUUGUACGGAACGAAAAGGCUCUGGCUAAUACCUGGGGCUCAUGACGGUACCGGAAGAAUAAGCACCGGCUAACUACGUG